UAAUUAAAAGGCAAUCGACCAAUUGGGCUGUGCUACACUAUUCCCAUGGUUCACAUCUGGAAAAAC
rnacentral:lncRNA from 1 species